rnacentral:rRNA from 1 species
GCUCAAAUUUGAAAUCUGGCCCCCUCGGGGCCCGAGUUGUAAUUUGCAGAGGAUGCUUCGGGUUCGGCCCCGGUCUAAGUCCCCUGGAACGGGGCGUCACGGAGGGUGAGAAUCCCGUCUGGGAUCGACGGCCGGACCCGUGUGAAGCUCCUUCGACGAGUCGAGUUGUUUGGGAAUGCAGCUCCAAAUGGGUGGUAAAUUUCAUCUAAAGCUAAAUACUGGUCGGAGACCGAUAGCGCACAAGUAGAGUGAUCGAAAGAUGAAAAGCACUUUGAAAAGAGAGUUAAACAGCAUGUGAAAUUGUUGAAAGGGAAGCGCUUGCGACCAGACUCGCCCGCGGGGGCUCAGCCGGCAUUCUUGCCGGUGCACUCCCCCGCGGUCGGGCCAGCGUCGGUUUGGGCGGUCGGUCAAAGGUCCCCGGAAUGUGUCGCCCCUCGGGGCGUCUUAUAGCCGGGGGCGCAAUGCGGCCUGCCCGGACCGAGGAACGCGCUUCGGCACGGACGCUGGCGUAAUGGUCGUAAGCGGCCCGUCUUGAAACACGGACCAAGGAGUCUAACAUCUACGCGAGUGUUCGGGUGUCAAACCCGUCCGCGCAGUGAAAGCGAACGGAGGUGGGAGCCCUGAAGGGUGCACCAUCGACCGAUCCGGAAGUCUUCGGAUGGAUUUGAGUAGGAGCGUAGCUGUUGGGACCCGAAAGAUGGUGAACUAUGCCUGAAUAGGGUGAAGCCAGAGGAAACUCUGGUGGAGGCUCGCAGCGGUUCUGACGUGCAAAUC